rnacentral:rRNA from 1 species
CUACGGGAUGCAGCAGUAGGGAAUAUUGCACAAUGGGCGAAAGCCUGAUGCAGCAACGCCGCGUGUGCGAUGAAGGCCUUCGGGUCGUAAAGCACUUUUCGGGAGGAUGAGAAAGGACAGUACUCCCGGAAUAAGUCUCGGCUAACUACGUGCCAGCAGCCGCGGUAACACGUAGGAGGCAAGCGUUAUCCGGAUUUACUGGGCGUAAAGCGCGUGCAGGUGGUUUGGUAAGUUGGAUGUGAAAUCUCCCGGCUCAACUGGGUGAGGUCGUUCAAAACUGCUGGACUAGAGGACGGUAGAGGAAAGUGGAAUUCCCGGUGUAGUGGUGAAAUGCGUAGAGAUCGGGAGGAACACAAGUGGCGAAAGCGACUUUCUGGCCCGUUCCUGACACUAAGACGCGAAAGCUAGGGUAGCAAACGGGAUUAGAUACCCCCGUAGUC